AAAACACUAAAACCAAAAUUAAUUUUGGUGUAUCUUUUGGUAAUAAUAUUUUAUUUCCAAUUCUUUUGUGAAAGAUACACUGAAAAAUUAAAAAAAAAGGUUUGACCGUAAAAUUGAAAAACAUUAGUUAACGAUAAAAAUAAUCCAUCUUACUUUUUAUCUCAAACGGACAAUUAGUCGCCAUUUCUGCAUCACAACCGGUAAAACAGAUCUUAUCCAUCCAAAUCUCUCUCUCUCUCUC
rnacentral:lncRNA from 1 species